GUUAAGCGACUAAGCGUACACGGUGGAUGCCCUGGCAGUCAGAGGCGAUGAAGGACGUGCUAAUCUGCGAUAAGCGUCGGUAAGGUGAUAUGAACCGUUAUAACCGGCGAUUUCCGAAUGGGGAAACCCAGUGUGAUUCGUCACACUAUCAUUAACUGAAUCCAUAGGUUAAUGAGGCGAACCGGGGGAACUGAAACAUCUAAGUACCCCGAGGAAAAGAAAUCAACCGAGAUUCCCCCAGUAGCGGCGAGCGAACGGGGAGCAGCCCAGAGCCUGAAUCAGUGUGUGUGUUAGUGGAAGCGUCUGGAAAGGCGCGCGAUACAGGGUGACAGCCCCGUACACAAAAAUGCACAUGCUGUGAGCUCGAUGAGUAGGGCGGGACACGUGGUAUCCUGUCUGAAUAUGGGGGGACCAUCCUCCAAGGCUAAAUACUCCUGACUGACCGAUAGUGAACCAGUACCGUGAGGGAAAGGCGAAAAGAACCCCGGCGAGGGGAGUGAAAAAGAACCUGAAACCGUGUACGUACAAGCAGUGGGAGCACGCUUAGGCGUGUGACUGCGUACCUUUUGUAUAAUGGGUCAGCGACUUAUAUUCUGUAGCAAGGUUAACCGAAUAGGGGAGCCGAAGGGAAACCGAGUCUUAACUGGGCGUUAAGUUGCAGGGUAUAGACCCGAAACCCGGUGAUCUAGCCAUGGGCAGGUUGAAGGUUGGGUAACACUAACUGGAGGACCGAACCGACUAAUGUUGAAAAAUUAGCGGAUGACUUGUGGCUGGGGGUGAAAGGCCAAUCAAACCGGGAGAUAGCUGGUUCUCCCCGAAAGCUAUUUAGGUAGCGCCUCGUGAAUUCAUCUCCGGGGGUAGAGCACUGUUUCGGCAAGGGGGUCAUCCCGACUUACCAACCCGAUGCAAACUGCGAAUACCGGAGAAUGUUAUCACGGGAGACACACGGCGGGUGCUAACGUCCGUCGUGAAGAGGGAAACAACCCAGACCGCCAGCUAAGGUCCCAAAGUCAUGGUUAAGUGGGAAACGAUGUGGGAAGGCCCAGACAGCCAGGAUGUUGGCUUAGAAGCAGCCAUCAUUUAAAGAAAGCGUAAUAGCUCACUGGUCGAGUCGGCCUGCGCGGAAGAUGUAACGGGGCUAAACCAUGCACCGAAGCUGCGGCAGCGACACUGUGUGUUGUUGGGUAGGGGAGCGUUCUGUAAGCCUGCGAAGGUGUGCUGUGAGGCAUGCUGGAGGUAUCAGAAGUGCGAAUGCUGACAUAAGUAACGAUAAAGCGGGUGAAAAGCCCGCUCGCCGGAAGACCAAGGGUUCCUGUCCAACGUUAAUCGGGGCAGGGUGAGUCGACCCCUAAGGCGAGGCCGAAAGGCGUAGUCGAUGGGAAACAGGUUAAUAUUCCUGUACUUGGUGUUACUGCGAAGGGGGGACGGAGAAGGCUAUGUUGGCCGGGCGACGGUUGUCCCGGUUUAAGCGUGUAGGCUGGUUUUCCAGGCAAAUCCGGAAAAUCAAGGCUGAGGCGUGAUGACGAGGCACUACGGUGCUGAAGCAACAAAUGCCCUGCUUCCAGGAAAAGCCUCUAAGCAUCAGGUAACAUCAAAUCGUACCCCAAACCGACACAGGUGGUCAGGUAGAGAAUACCAAGGCGCUUGAGAGAACUCGGGUGAAGGAACUAGGCAAAAUGGUGCCGUAACUUCGGGAGAAGGCACGCUGAUACGUAGGUGAAGUCCCUCGCGGAUGGAGCUGAAAUCAGUCGAAGAUACCAGCUGGCUGCAACUGUUUAUUAAAAACACAGCACUGUGCAAACACGAAAGUGGACGUAUACGGUGUGACGCCUGCCCGGUGCCGGAAGGUUAAUUGAUGGGGUCAGCGCAAGCGAAGCUCUUGAUCGAAGCCCCGGUAAACGGCGGCCGUAACUAUAACGGUCCUAAGGUAGCGAAAUUCCUUGUCGGGUAAGUUCCGACCUGCACGAAUGGCGUAAUGAUGGCCAGGCUGUCUCCACCCGAGACUCAGUGAAAUUGAACUCGCUGUGAAGAUGCAGUGUACCCGCGGCAAGACGGAAAGACCCCGUGAACCUUUACUAUAGCUUGACACUGAACAUUGAGCCUUGAUGUGUAGGAUAGGUGGGAGGCUUUGAAGUGUGGACGCCAGUCUGCAUGGAGCCGACCUUGAAAUACCACCCUUUAAUGUUUGAUGUUCUAACGUUG
rnacentral:rRNA from 1 species